rnacentral:rRNA from 1 species
UAAUACGGAGGGUGCGAGUGUUAUUCGGAAUCACUGGGCGUAAAGAGCACGUAGGCGGAUCGGUAAGUCAGAUGUGAAAUCCCGGAGCUCAACUCCGGAACUGCAUUUGAUACUGCCAGUCUUGAGUGAGGUAGAGGGGGGUGGAAUUCCCGGUGUAGAGGUGAAAUUCGUAGAUAUCGGGAGGAACACCAGAGGCGAAGGCGACCCCCUGGGCCUUUACUGACGCUGAGGUGCGAAAGCGUGGGGAGCAAACAGG